rnacentral:rRNA from 1 species
UACGUAGGGGGCGAGCGUUGUCCGAAUUCACUGGGCGUAAAGCGCGCGUAGGCGGGCUCUUAAGUUGGGGGUGAAAUUCCGAGGCUCAACCUCGGAACUGCCUUCAAAACUGGGAGCCUUGAGGUAUGGAGAGGGAAGUGGAAUUCCUGGUGUAGCGGUGAAAUGCGUAGAUAUCAGGAGGAACACCCGUGGCGAAGGCGGCUUCCUGGCCAUAUCCUGACGCUGAGGUGCGAAAGCCAGGGGAG